GAUGAACGCUAGCGGCAGGCUUAACACAUGCAAGUCGAGGGGCAGCACGGGUAGCAAUACCUGGUGGCGACCGGCGCAAGGGUGCGUAACGCGUGAGCAGCAUGCCCUAUACAGGGGGAUAAUCCAGGGAAACUUGGUCUAAUAUCCCAUAGUAUUUAGAGGAGGCAUCUUCUAUAAAUUAAAGCUUCGGUGGUAUAGGAUUGGCUCGCGUGACAUUAGCUAGAUGGUGAGGUAACGGCUCACCAUGGCAAUGAUGUCUAGGGGUUCUGAGAGGAAGGCCCCCCACACUGGGACUGAGACACGGCCCAGACUCCUACGGGAGGCAGCAGUGAGGAAUAUUGGACAAUGGAUGGAAAUCUGAUCCAGCCAUGCCGCGUGCAGGAAGACAGCCCUAUGGGUUGUAAACUGCUUUUAUAUGGGAGCAAUAAGGUCUACGUGUAGACUGAUGAGAGUACCAUAUGAAUAAG
rnacentral:rRNA from 1 species